GGCAAGUCUGGUGCCAGCAGCCGCGGUAAUUCCAGCUCCAAGAGCGUAUAUUAAAGUUGUUGCAGUUAAAAAGCUCGUAGUUGAACCUUGGGUUUUGGAGGGAGGUCCACCUCACGGUGAGUACUUCCAUAUCCAAGACCUUUCCUCUGCUUCCUCGCAGGAGGCAGCAGAAUAUUACUUUGAGUAAAUGAGAGUGUUCAAAGCAGGCGCACGCUUGAAUCUGUUAGCAUGGAAUAAUAGAAUAGGACGCAUGGUUCUAUUUUGUUGGUUUCUAGGACCAUCGUAAUGAUUAAUAGGGACGGUCGGGGGCAUCAGUAUUCAGUUGUCAGAGGUGAAAUUCUUGGAUUUACUGAAGACUAACUACUGCGAAAGCAUUUGCCAAGGACGUUUUCAUUAAUCAAGAACGAAAGUUAGGGGAUCGAAGAUGAUCAGAUACCGUCGUAGUCUUAACCAUAAACUAUGCCGACUAGGGAUCGGGCGGCGUUCAUCUAGUGACGCGCUCGGCACCUUACGAGAAAUCAAAGUUUUUGGGUUCUGGGGGGAGUAUGGUCGCAAGGCUGAAACUUAAAGGAAUUGACGGAAGGGCACCACCAGGAGUGGAGCCUGCGGCUUAAUUUGACUCAACACGGGGAAACUCACCAGGUCCAGACACAAUAAGGAUUGACAGAUUGAGAGCUCUUUCUUGAUUUUGUGGGUGGUGGUGCAUGGCCGUUCUUAGUUGGUGGAGUGAUUUGUCUGCUUAAUUGCGAUAACGACAGU
rnacentral:rRNA from 1 species